AUUAUUAUUAUUAUCAUUUCUAUAGAUUAUUGGUAUUAAUCCGUCAUAUCUUAAACUAUCAAGAGGAAAUGUUUCUGUUUAUGUUCAGUUAUCGUCAGAGGGCGGAGUCUCAUUCUGUGGUGUUAGUUGUGACAAAGAAGGAAUUCCUUCCAUUGACACACAAACCACACUAAUAAGAAUUAUUACAAGUAAUGAUAAUAAUAAUAAUAAUAAUA